GCGAGUGGCGGACGGGUGAGGAAUACAUCGGAAUCUACUUUUUCGUGGGGGAUAACGUAGGGAAACUUACGCUAAUACCGCAUACGACCUACGGGUGAAAGCAGGGGAUCUUCGGACCUUGCGCGAUUGAAUGAGCCGAUGUCGGAUUAGCUAGUUGGCGGGGUAAAGGCCCACCAAGGCGACGAUCCGUAGCUGGUCUGAGAGGAUGAUCAGCCACACUGGAACUGAGACACGGUCCAGACUCCUACGGGAGGCAGCAGUGGGGAAUAUUGGACAAUGGGCGCAAGCCUGAUCCAGCCAUACCGCGUGGGUGAAGAAGGCCUUCGGGUUGUAAAGCCCUUUUGUUGGGAAAGAAAUCCAGCUGGUUAAUACCCGGUUGGGAUGACGGUACCCAA
rnacentral:rRNA from 1 species